AGAACUGCAUAACUAAAAUUUCAAAUGAAGGGGUAACGCCCAGAAGGGAAUUCGCUAAUACUUCGAAUAGCGUUAGUUGAAUACAGACGACUAAGGUUAUAAGCUCGGAGAAGUCGUGCGAAGCACACCCUAAAGUAGAAAUACUAGGAAAGAUACCUAGAGGUAGGUGUUGUGUGUGACAGUGCGGGC
rnacentral:ncRNA from 1 species